GGGGGUAUAGCUGAGUGGUAAAGCAUUCGACUGCAGAUCGAGAGGUCUUCGGUUCAAACCAGGAUGUCCUCA
rnacentral:tRNA from 1 species